GAUGAACGCUGGCGGCGUGCCUAAUACAUGCAAGUCGAGCGAACAGACGAGGAGCUUGCUCCUCUGACGUUAGCGGCGGACGGGUGAGUAACACGUGGAUAACCUACCUAUAAGACUGGGAUAACUUCGGGAAACCGGAGCUAAUACCGGAUAAUAUAUUGAACCGCAUGGUUCAAUAGUGAAAGACGGUUUUGCUGUCACUUAUAGAUGGAUCCGCGCCGCAUUAGCUAGUUGGUAAGGUAACGGCUUACCAAGGCGACGAUGCGUAGCCGACCUGAGAGGUUGAGAGGCCACGAGAGAAGUGAGACACGGACCAGACUCCGACGGGGGGCAGAAGAAGAAAUUCUGCCGCAAGGGGAGAAGGGCUGACGAAGCAACGAGGCGGGGGUGAGGAAGGUUUUGGGAUGGUAAAUCUUUUUUAUGGGGGAAAAAAAAAGGUGUAAUAAACUAUGCAUUUUUGGGCGGUCCCAAAAAAAAAACCCGCGGAAACCGGCG
rnacentral:rRNA from 1 species